rnacentral:lncRNA from 12 species
CCAGGACCGUCCGGUCUUCGCGGCACUCCCAGGUCCGCAGGCGGAGCGCGGCAGGAGGACCGGAGGACCCGCCACCCCACCGCCGCGGGCGCGCGUCCCCACGGGCAGGCGGAGCCGGCGGGGCCGACGGGGCUCGGAGAGCUUCGCGGAGUCCGGGCCCUGGGCUGGGCCUGGGGAAUUCAACGAGGGGGAAGAUACAAACGAGUACCUGGUUAUAGUUUAACCCCAACUGCCUUUUCAGGUAACUACCACUACAUUUUUAUUACCCAUUGUAUACUUGUGUUUGUUCUAAAUCACUCUAGCUG